GUACAGCAGCGCUGCCGUGUCCGCCACUCCACUUCCUUCCUCAUGCUCGUCCGUAUUCCUUCUCUUUUUUUCUUUUUCUUUUUCUUUUUGUGUUCCAUUCUUUCCGAUCAUCUCCUGUUUCUGAGUUAACGCACUUUGGACAUCCUUUUGUGAUCUUAUUCUCCUCAGUAAGUAUGCGUAUGCGUAUGCGAAGAAGCACAAUCAUAAUGUUAAUAAAGGUGACGGAAAUGAUUAGCGGGCCGGAGAAGGAGAUCAUUGGACUUGUCCCGGGUGCAUCAAGACCGUGGCAUGAGGCACCUCCUUGCCUUGUUAUUAUCCUCACCCUCGAAGAAGGACACCGUGAGCGACGUCUCUCGGCACCUUUCUCGCCGUCCGCCCGUGAUCCCGGGUGACAGGUCCCGUGAUCCCUCAAACAACGCUACAAGGCGUGGGGGACCCAGCAGUUCCCGUGACCCCGGCUGCCGAGCGGUGGCGACGUACGAGCCUCUCUCCCAUCGCACUAAUUACUGUCUUUAAUAUUAAUCUAAUCGAAUGGCAUCCGGGGAUUACACGUCCUCGUCAACCCGCCCUCCCUCGGCACCUUCCUCGCCGUCCCCUCGGGCUGCUCCGUCGCGGUCCAAUGGGAGGGGGCGGGCGCGUUCUUGGCCGACCCGCCCGCAUCGUGGGCGGUGGCCAGCGUGUGGAACUCCAAGGAGGUGUUCCCACUGGAGGUGCGGGGGGCAGGGCGGUGGCGGCAAAGGCUGGCGCGGGCGAGCCGCGCGGUGGACCGGGCGCUACCGUGGCUGCGCAUCCCCCGGAGCGGCUCGCACGCCGCCACCACUCGGCAGCCGGGGUCCCCCCACGCCGUGUUGUGCACGUGACGGAGUUCACGGGUGGGAGUUCAGAGGGGUGUUCAGAGGGGUGUUAUUAUCCUCACCCUCGGCGCGUCUCUCGGGCACCUUUCUCGCCGUCCCUCCUUCGCUCUUGAUCCCUCCCAAACGAUCGCGCGUGUGGGCCCUGUCCCGCAGGUCUCGUCAUCCCUCUCAUCCGUGAACGGUGCUACAAGGCGUGGGGAUCGGGCGCUACCGUGGCUGUGCAUCCCUCGGAGCUCCGUCACCUUUUUCUUAAAUCACUCCUCAAUCUUCUGCAUUCGGUGCAAAGAGAGGCUCGUACGUCGCCACCGCUCGGCAGUCGGAGUCCCCCAGCUUGUUGCGGCGUUCACAUGUGGGAGGAAUCCGAGACCUGCGGGACAGGGCCCACGCGCCGUCGGUUAGGAUGGAUCACGGGCGAAGGAUGGACGGCGAGAAAGAUGCCGAGGGGCGUCGAUGUCACCGUGUUCUUCUUCGAGGGUGAGGGCAAUCAAAGGCGAAGAGGGAUUAAACCGAUUCUGGUGUAGAGGAUAGAGGAGUGAUCUAAGGUGAAGACGACCGAGUACGCGUACAUGGCGGCGGAGAUGGACACCGUGACAUCGACGUCGUCCUCGCCAACCCGCCCUCCGGCACCUUCCUCGCCUUCCCCUCGGGCUGCUCCGUCGCAGUCCGGUGGGAGGGGGUGAGCGCGUUCCUGGCCGACCCGCCCGCGACGUGGGCGGUGGCCAGUGUGUGGAAGUCCAAGGAGGUGUUCCCACUGGAGGUGCGGGGGCAGGGCGGUGGCGGUGGAAGUCCAAGGAGGUGUUAUGGUAAAACUUUUGUUAUUUCAUUAUGCAUAAUAUAUUUUUCUUUUUUUCGUUUUUUUUUCUUUUUUUUUUCAGGUUUGAGAUGGUCCGGUACUUAGCGCCGAUAAAGCAAGAGUACUUGGUGCUCUGCGACUGAGGGUCCGGUACUCAUCGCCUGUCAUUGUUGGCCUCCGAUUCAGCAUUCGGGUCGUUGAGUCUGCGAGAAGGCAUUCGGGGCUUACCAGGCUCUGGGCGGGCACAAGGCCAGCCACCGGAAGCCUAGCAACGGUGUCAAGGAAACCUCGGCCUCGGGCUCUUCCACGACUAGCGCAAGCGCCUCCACGGCGGCCUCCGGUGGCGGCAGGGUGCACCGGUGCUCCCUCGGUGUGCCUGAAGACGUUUCCGUUGGGGCAAGCGCUGGGUGGCACAAGAGGUGCCACAACGACGGGAGCGUCGGCAGCGGCACUACCCCGGCGGCGAUGACGUCGUCGGAGGGGGCGAGCUCGAGGCACAUGCCGUUCUAUCUGAACGUGCCAGCGACGCCGGACUCGGAGUUCGACGACGUCAAGCGUUGGGUGGCGGCGGCGGUGAAGGAAGAGGAGGAGGUGUAGAGCCCGCUGGCUUUCAAGAAACAGAGACCUGUCGUCCCACGUGAGCGUGUCAACUCCAGUACUGGAGACCGGAGAUCACCGCCGUAGAGGAAUGAAAGCAGCCCCAGAGGAGAACUAGCCAUUGCAAUCGGACUGUCUGUUCUGUACAAGACCGAGUAUGAGUGAAAUAGUUGCUCUGUGAGAUACAUGGCCAAGGGUGCGAUUCUAGUUGUCUUUUUUCCACCCCAA